AGCGAACGCUGGCGGCAGGCCUAACACAUGCAAGUCGAACGAACCCUUCGGGGUUAGUGGCGGACGGGUGAGUAACACGUGGGAACGUGCCUUUAGGUUCGGAAUAACUCAGGGAAACUUGUGCUAAUACCGAAUGUGCCCUUCGGGGGAAAGAUUUAUCGCCUUUAGAGCGGCCCGCGUCUGAUUAGCUAGUUGGUGUGGUAAUGGCUCACCAAGGCUACGAUCAGUAGCUGGUCUGAGAGGAUGACCAGCCACAUUGGGACUGAGACACGGCCCAAACUCCUACGGGAGGCAGCAGUGGGGAAUCUUGCGCAAUGGGCGAAAGCCUGACGCAGCCAUGCCGCGUGGAUGAUGAAGGUCUUAGGAUUGUAAAAUCCUUUCACCGGUGAAGAUAAUGACUGUAGCCGGAGAAGAAGCCCCGGCUAACUUCGCGCCAGCCGCCGCUGUAAAAC
rnacentral:rRNA from 1 species